GGACUGCAAUGGAAUCUGUAGUGUUUUUAAGGGACAAAGACUCCGCUUCCCAUGAGCACUAGCACCUACUGUCUUAAGGGCAUAACUCUGGCCAAGGUUGAAGCUAAUGAAUGAAGAGCGGAUCUUCUUUACAACUCCACAUUUCUUUUUUCAAGACAGCAACUUGCAGAUGCAAAGUGACAUUUGAAACGAGACAACAAGCAAACUUCAUGAAGUCCGUUUGUAGCGUGAAAACAAAAGUGAAACC